rnacentral:rRNA from 1 species
ACGCUGGCGGCAGGCCUAACACAUGCAAGUCGAGCGGAUGAAGAGAGCUUGCUCUCUGAUUCAGCGGCGGACGGGUGAGUAAUGCCUAGGAAUCUGCCUGGUAGUGGGGGACAACGUCUCGAAAGGGACGCUAAUACCGCAUACGUCCUACGGGAGAAAGCAGGGGACCUUCGGGCCUUGCGCUAUCAGAUGAGCCUAGGUCGGAUUAGCUAGUUGGUGAGGUAAUGGCUCACCAAGGCGACGAUCCGUAACUGGUCUGAGAGGAUGAUCAGUCACACUGGAACUGAGACACGGUCCAGACUCCUACGGGAGGCAGCAGUGGGGAAUAUUGGACAAUGGGCGAAAGCCUGAUCCAGCCAUGCCGCGUGUGUGAAGAAGGUCUUCGGAUUGUAAAGCACUUUAAGUUGGGAGGAAGGGCAGUAAGCGAAUACCUUGCUGUUUUGACGUUACCGACAGAAUAAGCACCGGCUAACUCUGUGCCAGCAGCCGCGGUAAUACAGAGGGUGCAAGCGUUAAUCGGAAUUACUGGGCGUAAAGCGCGCGUAGGUGGUUUGUUAAGUUGAAUGUGAAAUCCCCGGGCUCAACCUGGGAACUGCAUCCAACACUGGCAAGCUAGAGUAGGGCAGAGGGUGGUGGAAUUUCCUGUGUAGCGGUGAAGUGCGUAGAUAUAGGAAAGAACACCAGUGGCGAAGGCGACCACCUGGGCUCAUACUGACACUGAG